rnacentral:lncRNA from 1 species
UGUAUGUCAUAAACUACUUAAUGCAUAAAUACCCAUAACGGGUCAAGGUAAGCUUCUGACCAAAAAUAUGUUAAAAAUAGGUAAGACAUCCAAGAAUUUAAUCCUCUUUGAUAAAUGACUUUGAUAUUAAAAGGUUCAUGAGGAGUCGAGGUUAAGUAAUCAGAUUAUGUUGAUAAAUGCACGAACGGGUCAAAUAGAUUUUAAGUUGAUAUGAUAGAAUGUGAAUU